rnacentral:rRNA from 1 species
UACGUAGGUGGCGAGCGUUGUCCGGAUUUACUGGGCGUAAAGAGCGCGCAGGCGGUCGUACAAGUCGCGUGUGAAAGCUCCCGGCUUAACUGGGAGAGGCCAAUGGAUACUGCCAAGCUUGAGUAUAGGAGAGGUUACUGGAAUUCCCGGUGUAGCGGUGAAAUGCGCAGAUAUCGGGAGGAACACCAAUGGCGAAAGCAGGUAACUGGACUAUUACUGACACUAAACUGCGAAAGCUAGGGGAGCAAACAGG